rnacentral:rRNA from 1 species
AUUGAACGCUGGCGGCAGGCCUAACACAUGCAAGUCGAACGAGUGGCGGACGGGUGAGUAAUGUCUGGGAAACUGCCCGAUGGAGGGGGAUAACUACUGGAAACGGUAGCUAAUACCGCAUACCAUCGGAUGUGCCCAGAUGGGAUUAGCUAGUAGGUGGGGUAACGGCUCACCUAGGCGACGAUCCCUAGCUGGUCUGGGAGGAUGACCAGCAAAACUGGAACGGGAACACGCUCCAGACCCUUACGGAAGGCAGCAGUGGGGAAUAUUGCACAAGGGGCACAAGCCUGAUGCGGCCAUGCCGCGUGUAUGAAGAAGGCCUUCGGGUUGUAAAGUACUUUCAGCGAGGAGGCGUUACUCGCAGAAGAAGCACCGGCUAACUCCGGGCCAGCAGCCGCGGUAUUC